rnacentral:lncRNA from 1 species
CAUUGAGAAACUAUGUUUUAAAAAAUUCUCAUAAAUUCAAAAUGCCUAAAGCGAACUCGAGUAGUUAAACAAUACCUACGGCAAAGAGUGAAGACAAGUCGUAGUAAUACUGCCAUUCAUUUUAGUGCAAUUUUUCAGUAUAUAAAUACUUAAUCAAGUUCUCUUUAAUUUUAUAAUUAACGAAAACAUUUAAUAAACAAUUCAAC